AUACAUUUGAGACAUAUCAAGCAUCCCCAAGCUUAACUCAUGCUCGUCCUCGAGUAGGGAAGUGAUAAGAAUGAAUUUUUGAUGCUUUCAUGCUACCUAGCGUAGGUGUCCUUUGUAAUUCCUCUUAUGUGACGUGAAUGUUCAGAUCCAUUAGAUUCAAAACAAUAGUUUGCUAUUGACGUGGAAACAAUAAUAAUUCAAGCAAACUAGCAAAGUAAUCAUGAACUUUCAAAAUAACAACGCCAAAAGAAAGUUAUCCCUACAAACGCAUAUAGUAUGGCUAUGCUCUAUCAUCAUUGCACAACGAACUUAAAUCAUGCACAACCCCGGUAUUGGCCAAGUAAUUGUUUCACACCUUUACUUUCUCAAACAUUUUCAACUCUCACGCAAUACAUGAGUGUGAGCCAUG
rnacentral:lncRNA from 1 species